rnacentral:rRNA from 1 species
CCUACGGGGGGCAGCAGUGGGGAAUUUUGCGCAAUGCGCGUAAGCGUGACGCAGCGACGCCGCGUGAAUGACGAAGGUCUUCGGGUCGUAAAGUUCUUUUGAUAGGGAAGAAAAUGCCUAAGAGUAACUGUGCAUGUAUUGACGGUACCUGCAUAAGCAGCCCCGGCUAACUCCGUGCCAGCAGCCGCGGUAAUACGGAGGGGGCGAGCGUUGUUCGGAUUGACUGGGCGUAAAGAGCACGUAGGCGGUGUUGUAAGUCAUUUGUCAAAGACUAGAGCUUAACUUUAGUAAGGCUAGUGAUACUGUAAUACUAGAGUGUCAGAGAGGAUUGCAGAAUUCCUGGUGUAGCGGUGAAAUGCGUAGAUAUCAGGAGGAAUACCAUUAGCGAAGGCGGCAAUCUGGCUGGAAACUGACGCUGAGGUGCGAAAGCGUGGGUAGCAAACAGGAUUAGAUACCCGUGUAGUC